AGUGAACGCUGGCGGUAGGCCUAACACAUGCAAGUCGAACGGCAGCACAGUAAGAGCUUGCUCUUACGGGUGGCGAGUGGCGGACGGGUGAGGAAUACAUCGGAAUCUACUUUUUCGUGGAGGAUAACGUAGGGAAACUUACGCUAAUACCGCAUACGACCUACGGGUGAAAGCAGGGGAUCUUCGGACCUUGCGCGAUUGAAUGAGCCGAUGUCGGAUUAGCUAGUUGGCGGGGUAAAGGCCCACCAAGGCGACGAUCCGUAGCUGGUCUGAGAGGAUGAUCAGCCACACUGGAACUGAGACACGGUCCAGACUCCUACGGGAGGCAGCAGUGGGGAAUAUUGGACAAUGGGCGCAAGCCUGAUCCAGCCAUACCGCGUGGGUGAAGAAGGCCUUCGGGUUGUAAAGCCCUUUUGUUGGGAAAGAAAAGCAGCAGGUUAAUACCCCGCUGUUCUGACGGUACCCAAAGAAUAAGCACCGGUUAACUUCGUG
rnacentral:rRNA from 1 species